GACGAACGCUGCCGGCGUGCUUAACACAUGCAAGUCGUACGGAAAGGCCCUGCUUGCAGGGUACUCGAGUGGCGAACGGGUGAGUAACACGUGGGUGAUCUGCCCUGCACUUCGGGAUAAGCCUGGGAAACUGGGUCUAAUACCGGAUAGGAGCCAUUUUUAGUGUGAUGGUUGGAAAGUUUUUUCGGUGUAGGAUGAGCUCGCGGCCUAUCAGCUUGUUGGUGGGGUAAUGGCCUACCAAGGCGGCGACGGGUAGCCGGCCUGAGAGGGUGGACGGCCACAUUGGGACUGAGAUACGGCCCAGACUCCUACGGGAGGCAGCAGUGGGGAAUAUUGCACAAUGGGCGCAAGCCUGAUGCAGCGACGCCGCGUGGGGGAUGGCGGCCUUCGGGUUGUAAACUCCUUUCGCUAGGGACGAAGCUUUUUGUGAC
rnacentral:rRNA from 1 species